rnacentral:rRNA from 1 species
CCUGAACGCUGGCGGCGUGGCUAAGACAUGCAAGUCGAACGGGUGUAGCAAUACACCAGUGGCGGACGGGUGAGUAAUGUAUCGCUAACGUGCCCUGGAAUCUGAGAUAGCCAAUCGAAAGGUUGGGUAAUACCAGAUGAAAUAUCCUUAUCGCAUGAUGAGGAUCUCAAAGGAGCAAUCCGGUCUGGGAGCGGGCGAUAUCGUAUCAGCUAGUUGGUGAGGUAACGGCUCACCAAGGCGACGACGCGUAGCCGGGGCUGAGAGGUCGGCCGGCCACAUUGGGACUGAGACACUG